AUAACUUAGUCAAGCUACUUCCACAUUUCUAACCCACAGAAGCUGUUGGAUGAUAAAUGUUAAUUGAAAAUUUUGGGGUAAUGUGAUGGCAAUAAAUAAGGUAGCCACCACUCCCAUCCACACUGUAUUUGUUUUUGUUUCUUUGCUAUUCUGUUGCUAUGUUCACUCAGGUGUAGCUUGUAUUUGGAACUCAAAGCUUUACAAAGUUCUUUCCCAGCUCUGUGGUGUCUCAGGAAACUAGAUCCUGCUUUACUGAUACUCUGUACUUCUUUCUUUUUUUUAAGAUUUUUAUUUAUUUUUUUGAUAAACAGAGAGAGAGGCAGAAACACAGGCAGACACAUGCAGGGAGCCUGACGUGGGACUCGAUUCCGGGUCUCCAGGAUCAGGCCCUGGGCUGAAGGCGGCGCUAAACCACUGAGCCACUCAGGCUGCGAUACUCUGUACUUCUGUUAAUGGUUGAAGAGCCUGUCCUGCAUUUGGCAACUCAAGUAGAGGCACUCUGUGGGAGCCACCCACUGACCUGCACAGCCACUGUCCAGUUGUAUCCUAGAUUAGAAGAUCAGCUUCGGUUGACAGCUGUACGGUGGCAGCUGUCUUGCCUUUGGAGGUGCACUAGAACAGUCCAAUGAGAACUGGUUGUUAAAUGUUUACUAGCACACCGCUGGCUUGACUCCAUUCCUGGAAACUACUAAAUGAAUUACAAGGCUGGAGAAACAGCAUGGAUGAAUCUCACAGACAUUAUUCUGAGUGAGAGAAGCCAGACACAGAUGACAUACUGUAUGAUUCCAUUUAUGUGAAGUUCUAGAACAGCAAACUGAUCUGUGGUGAAAAAUAUCAGGACUGAGUUACCUCUAGAGGGGGAGGUUACUGUGAAGGAGCAUGAGGAAUUUUCUGGGGGAUUAAAAAUAUUCUAUAUCUAGAUAUGAGUCUGGGUUACACAGGUAUAUGCACUUUUCAAACACCCAUCAAAUUGUCCACUUAAUAUCUGUGCAGUUCAUUGUAUGUCAAUUUUACCCCAAAGGAAAAAAAACACAAAUAUUAAACUCUACUUAAUAGGUUUGCUUGGUACAAUUGUAAGGAUUCACAAUUUUGAAACUCUUUGUGCACUUUAGUUUUGGGCAAAUGGAGUAAAUACAUUGAGGAUAAUGAGAGUCAGAUUUCUCACUGUUGGAGGAAAAAGGUCCCCAGGUAGGGAUCUCAGGAUAGCAUGCAGACUGUGAUAAAAAGAAUUUAACUAUAUUGCAAAUGGGGGCACCUGGGUGGCUCAGUGGUUGAGUGUCUGCCUUCGAUUCAGGUGGUGAUCCCGGGGUCCUGGGACCGAGUCCCCUAUCGAGCUCUCAAGGGGAGCCUGCUUCUCCCUCUGCCUAUGUCUCUGCCUCUCUUGCUGUGUCUCUCAUGAAGAAAUAAAUAAAAUAUUUAUAUUACA
rnacentral:lncRNA from 12 species